UCACUGUUGAGGAGUCCCACAAUAGGACGAAACGGCCGUUCAGUAC
rnacentral:hammerhead_ribozyme from 1 species